UACGAAGGGGGCUAGCGUUGUUCGGAAUUACUGGGCGUAAAGGGCGCGUAGGCGGUCCUUCAAGUCAGGCGUGAAAGCCCCAGGCUUAACCUGGGAACUGCAUUCGAGACUGCAUUGCUAGAGUAUGGGAGAGGGAAGUGGAAUUUCCGGUGUAGCGGUGAAAUGCGUAGAUAUCGGAAGGAACAUCAGUGGCGAAAGCGACUUCCUGGACCAAUACUGACGCUCAUGUGCGAAAGCGUGGGGAGCAAACAGG
rnacentral:rRNA from 1 species